ACUCUUCUAAUCUCAAUUAAAUUUGAUUAAAUUAAUAAAUUAAUUGAGCCAUAGAUCUGAUCAAAUUAGGAUCAUUUCUCCCUUACCGAUUAGGUCAUCUCAUAAUCUAAUUAGACUUAACUUGAUUGAAUCAAAUUCAAUUAGACUUGAUUCAGACUUUAAUGCUCAAUCAAAUUGAGCUAAUUAGUGACCUAAUCACUAAUUAAUCCUCCAUUAAAGAUAGAGUUCAAUUCUAGUGGGACUCUUCUCUAGAGUCCCUGUCCAAUAGGACUCUUCAGCAGAGUCUCCGUCAAGUGAGACUCUUCAUCAGAGUCUCCGUUAACUGAAACUCUUCAGAUUAGCCAUA
rnacentral:lncRNA from 1 species